rnacentral:rRNA from 1 species
AAUCUUACCGGGUCCGGACACACUGGAGAUUGACAGGCAAUAUCUAAAUCGUUUAUAAUUCUAAAUUAUAAUACGUAUUUAGUGUUAAAUAUGCUAGUCCUUUCAUGAUUAUGUGAUAGGUGGUGCAUGGCCGUUCUUAGUUCGUGGAGUGAUCUGUCUGCUUAAUUGCGUUUCACUAAGGGCCCAUAAAUUCAAGGUAUGUUAGCUAUCGUUUCUCAAUUGACCCCUUGUCUUCGAUAAGCGCGUGUCUUUUAGAGUUUAAACAUUGCGCAUGCUGUUGGGUCCUGAAAGCAACGAACGUGACCGCAACGUCUUAUUGCCUUUAUCUUGCUAUAUUUUAAUUUAAUUAAAAAUAGCUAACAGAGGCUAAUUUAAAAUUAGACGGACCGCUGUACUUUUCUUAAACCAGAGGAAGGUUGCGGCAAUAACAGGUCUGUGAUGCCCUUAGAUGUUCCGGGCUGCACACGUGCUACAAUGAUCAGUACAGUGAGCAUCUCAAUAUUAUACACCGUAUUAAGCGCUUAGUUGCGAUUAUUGGCCCAUUAUUGGGUCUUUUAAUUGUAUUUCUAAUGCGCGCGGUAAAGCCUGCUUCGAGAGUAAGUGGGUAAUCCAUUGGAAGUAAUGAUUUCUCUUUUUAUAGCACACCUAUAUACGGCAUUCAUUCCCGGGACGACUAG